rnacentral:tRNA from 1 species
UGGGGUGUCGUCCAACGGCAGGACUCUGGAUUCUGGCUCCAGCUAUCGAGGUUCGAAUCCUUGCACCCCAGCCA